rnacentral:rRNA from 1 species
AACGAACGCUGGCGGCAUGCCUAACACAUGCAAGUCGAACGAGACCUUCGGGUCUAGUGGCGCACGGGUGCGUAACGCGUGGGAACCUGCCCUUAGGUUCGGAAUAACUCCCCGAAAGGGGUGCUAAUACCGGAUAAUGUCUUCGGACCAAAGAUUUAUCGCCUUUGGAUGGGCCCGAGUUGGAUUAGCUAGUUGGUAGGGUAAAAGCCUACCACGGCGACGAUCCAUAGCUGGUCUGAGAGGAUGAUCAGCCACACUGGGACUGAGACACGGCCCAGACUCCUACGGGAGGCAGCAGUGGGGAAUAUUGGACAAUGGGCGAAAGCCUGAUCCAGCAAUGCCGCGUGAGUGAUGAAGGCCUUAGGGUUGUAAAGCUCUUUUACCCGGGAUGAUAAUGACAGUACCGGGAGAAUAAGCACCGGCUAACUCCGUG